rnacentral:rRNA from 1 species
AGAAUCAACGCUGGCGGCGUGCCUAACACAUGCAAGUCGAACGAGAAAGUGGAGCAAUCCAUGAGUAAAGUGGCGCACGGGUGAGUAACACGUGACUAACCUACCCUUGAGUGGGGAAUAACUUCGGGAAACCGAGGCUAAUACCGCAUAACACCUACGGGUCAAAGGAGCAAUUCGCUUAAGGAGGGGUCGCGGCAGAUUAGUUAGUUGGCGGGGUAAUGGCCCACCAAGACGGUGAUCUGUA